GUGUUCUUUUGCUUUGUUCAUGUCAUGCCCUUUCAGGAGUACACAAGUUAGCCCUACUUCCACCACCUCACAGGAAGAAGCUUCAGACCUCCAUGCACAGAGAUCUGUCUUAGUCAGGCUCCCUGGUGCAGGGAAGAUUCUAAGCAUUGUCAGCUGAACAUUCUUAGAAUCCCACUACAGCCCUUCAAAGAACAUGGGAACAUAAGAACUGGAGCACUGGGCACAGGGUACAAAUAUCCACCCUCUCCUCCCCCGUUAGCCCUCACAGGUCUAUGAAAUGCCUGAAUAAGGCUUGAAUAUCCUCCCAUUUUGAUCUUUCAAAGUAGUCCUUUCAGACAGAAAUACUUCCUGAAACCCUGUUAAUUUUUAAAAGCCAAUUAAUGGUGAGUAGGUUUCAUCUUUUUACAAUCCUGUUCGCUACCGUUAUUUCAUCUGUCUUCAGCUGCAAGGAUGCCCCCCCCACUUUUAAUUGCUGAUUUUGCCACGUUCUGAAUUAUCCAAAUUUCUGAAAUCACACAUGUGACUAUCACAUAGUGAAUAUUAUUGAUUGAUUGAUUGAUUGAUUGAUUGAUUGAAUGAUUGAAUGAAUGAAUUUGUAUACUGCCCUACCCCCGCAGGUCAUAGGAUAUGACAAAAUGUCAUAUAUAGCCAUAUUUGGCUAUGUGAUUAUAUCAUUAAAGGCAAAUGAAGUCAAUUAAGAGUGAGGACAAUACAAACACUUUCAGAACAAUCACUGAAAAAAUCGCCAAAAGAAAGUUGAUGUUUGAGUCUGCCCAAAGUGAUCAUUAAACACACACACACACACACACACACACAGAGAGAGAGAGAGAGAGAGAGAGAGAGAGAGAGAAUACUACCAUGUUUGCCCAAGUUUUAUUCCAUUUAUAAAUUUGAAACCUGUGGUUAUCACAAAAGAGAUAUAAUGUGUCUUACAGGGGUUAAUUCAAUGGCUGGAUACAAAUGUUUCUCAAAUUUUCCAAGCUUCACUGGCAUACAGAGCAACACUGUGUGUCAGAAACAUAUCCUUAUUCAGUCAGUAGCAGUAACGCCUGGUUACAAGCCCGUCAAGAACUGGCAUGCGAAGUUUUCUCUGGAAACUUCACAGUGCACAAUUACCUCCUUAUAAAUCCUUUGUAAACAUCCCUUUCAAGUAAGCCUAUGGCUGCAUACACACUAUACUUUGAAAGCACAUUAUUUCCUUCAAAGAAUUCUGAGCAGUGUAGUUUAUCCCUUCCAGAUUUACAAUCCCCGGCAACCCUUAAACUACAGUGCCCAGGAUUCUUUGAGGGGAAAAUGUUUGUUCUUUGAGUGAGCUUUAAAGGUACAGUGUCUAUGCAGCCAAAUAUAUUGUCUAAAAGGCCAGUGGAGCAAAAUGUAAUAGCAAAACAGAGCAGCUUUCUGAACAUGAUUUGCAAUUUUAGAAAACAAAGACAGUACCACAACACCCUCAGUAUCUCCUUUCUUGUAAUUUGAAUCCACUGGUUCAAGUCCUGGCCUCCAGAGUGGGAGGAAACAAGCUUGCUACAUCUUCCAUGUGACAGCCCAUUAGAUAUCUGAAGAUGGGUAUCAUAUCUUCUCUCAGUCUCCUCUUAUCCAAGAUAAGAGAAUGGGAAAGCAAUAAAUGGAGUGGCUUGAAAAGAGUCAUAAAGAGCCAUGCCAACUAUCUUGUGGUCCCUGUGGCAAAACUAUGCCAUUCUCGAUUCAAACAUCAGUUUUAUUUCUAACCAUACUAACCCUGAUAUACCAUACCCAACAUUUCAUUGCAAUCAAAUCAUGCAAGCAGCAAUUCCACAACGUGCUGUCAAGCAAAACAGUCUGCAAACCCACAGGAUAAUUUGUUUUAAUGAGCAGAUCCUUAACAUUCAAAUGCAAAUUGCUAAUCAAAACAAACUUGCCAAAGGAAGGCAGGGGUAAAUUCGCACAACAAGAAACCUAACGCUAAGCUCUCUAGCAGGUGUUGGGAACUUGUAGUCCUCUAGUUGUGGAUGAACUACAACUGCCAUCAUCCCCGGCCACUGGCCAUUCUUGCUGGAGCUGAUGGGACUUGCAAUUCAACAACAUCUGGAAGGCCAAAGGUUCUACGGUAUGUGUAGUAUGACUGGUAACAAUAAAAUCUCAUCACUCACUAAGAGAAAAUAAAAUGCUAAAUAAUAAUAAAAUAAUACUAAUUAUUAUCCAAAAAAAAAGCUCAACAAAUCUGGGCAAUCCUCCCCCCCCCCAAAAAAAGCUUCACAACUUUGGCAAUCCUCCCCCCCAAAAAAUCUCAACAACUCUGGGCCAUCUCCCCCCCCCCUCCAAUUUUCUUAAAUUGGAAUCUCCAAAAGUAGGGGGCGUCUUAUACACUGAAAACUACGGUAAUUCAUUGAUCAACAGAAAUUUCUUUCAUUAAAGUAUGGGUAAAAGAAUUUUGUGGAAAUAGGAGCAUGGGGCGGGAUUGUUGUUGGUCAUAGGUAGUAAGAAUUUCUAUACAUUAUAUCUGUGUCUUUCUAAUAAUAUCCAGAAGAAAACUCCCAGUGAUGUUUUUCAAUCUCAAGCUGAUUUGCAAAUGUAAAGAACUGAAUUUAAGAUUGGUAAAAACUGAGAAACCGAGAGGAACCAAAAUUUACAGACUCACUCACACCUAGUCUUGACAAUGACUUCAAAGUACAACAGCCCUGGUUAUGCAUUUGUUGUCUAGAGCAAUAUUUGAAGGGAUAAUAGGAAGGCAUUGCAUCACACCCAAGAGUUUGGACCAAUUAGAUCAAUCCGAAAUAGCACUAGACAAGGAGUUUAGCUACAUUUAAUGGGUUGGAGACACUUGAAUUCUUUCAAAGGGUUGUUUUGGCCCUGAAGCAAUCAGAGAAAGGCACAGAAAGACUCUGGCUGUUCCAAUCUGUAUGAUACUAACUGACAACAGCAUACAACCAAAAUAGCUGAAAGCAAGGCAGAAAGAAGCCUUUAAUAAUUCCAAGAGUUUGGAACCAGUUGCUGCUGCUUUUAAUGGCAAAAGCUCUCUGGUUAGAACAGCUGCACGGUGGGUUGAAAUUAAACAGGUGCUGCUUUCAUCGGGUAAGAAGAUGCUCACUGUGAGCAUUGCACCUACUGAAUCCCUACCACCAACUGCAAUGUAUGUGUUAAAAACACAGAGCCGCUGUCCAAAAAGAAAGGACUGCAAGUCUAAUAAUCAUAUCCUUUUCAGGCUAAGGGGAUGAGGUGGAAAUCACCAUUUACUUGUGCUGUAUUGAUUUUUCUAUUACAAUGGGAAGUGUGACCAUAAAUCGAACAGGGGAUCUUUGACAAGCAGGGUCUUUCUUUAUAGGCUCCAGAAAGUAACUAAUUCUGGUUGCCCAAGUAGGUGGCAUUAUUGUCACUGGUCUGAAAUAAUUCACACCCUGAAGCGAUCAGCUUCAUUUAAUGGGAUUUAAUCUAAGGCAGGAUGGCCAGCUUCCAAUUCUUGGGGGAGCAUCCUCCUCUAGCCAGUGGUCCCUGAGCCAAAAAUGUGUUUUGCCACUGAAUCUGACCUCAUUGUUGGUCAAGUCCCGUAGCAUGAGUGGUCAAAUGCUAAAUAACCUGAAAGAUCAUCUCACCCUCUAUAUACUCAUCAAUCCCUUGCUCUGCAGGUGAGCCUCUACUACAGAAACCAUCUGAUGAGAAAGUCCAUUCUGCACAAUGUAGCAAUCAGCCCUUUAGCACUGUGGCACCUCUCCAUAUAAUUGCCUCUCUUAAAAUAUUAGACAGGCAUCAUCUCUGUUGUCUUUUUACAGUGGUACCUCUGGUUAAGAACUUAAUUUGUUCCGGAGGUCCAUUCUUAACCUGAAACUGUUCUUAACAUGAGGUACCACUUUAGCUAAUGGGGCCUCCCACUGCCGCCACGCCGCCGCUGCACGAUUUCUGUUCUCAUCCUGAAGCAAAGUUCUUAGCCUGAGGUACUAUUUCUGGGUUGGUGGAGUCUGUAACCUGAAGCGUCUGUAACCCAAGGUACCACUGUACUGCCUACUGAAAACCUCCCUCUUCCAACAAGUUGAGAUUCUUCCCAGUUUGCAUUGGUACUGGAACUGUUUCUAAGAACUUUUUAUUUCUUUAUCACUUGUUGCAUGCUGCCCUGGGCUUCUUUGAGGGGAAGGGUGGGAUAUAAUUUAUUAUUAUUAUUAAAAGAAGGAUGCUGAACCUGUGGCCAUCCAGGCGAUUGACUCACCAAUGACCACUGGUCAUUCUGCCUAGGCCUGAAGGCUGUUGAACAACAUAUGGACAGCCAUCUAGAGAACAUGCUCUAUAGUAAAGUUGGUGAUGCCAUUCAGGACUUUGGAAUUAUGAAGUAGCUCAUGUUGUGUCUUUCCAUAGAAAAACUAAAUGGUGAUAUCCAGCCAAGCCAUAUAGCAGGCCCAUUCAAACCAAUGGAUUUAAAUAUCCCAAGUCCAUUUAUUUCAGUAGAUCAACUCUGAAUAUGAUUAGUGUUGAAUAUCACCCAAAUAGAAACAUUGCAUUGUGUGUGUCGGACUUGCUCCUCUCUCACAACCUGCAGGUUCUUGUAGAAUUACAACACAGGCUACAGUUUAGGCAUAAGUAAACAUAUAUACAAGAAUAAACUAUUAUUUCCCAUAAUGCUGAUGAUUUAUAACAAAUUAAAUACCUGAUGAACAUUAGUUGAUGCAUGUGCAUCGCUACGCCAGUAAUCAAUUCCAAAAAAUGCCAAUUUUCAUUAAAGAGAUUACACUUUUGUCUCCCUUCCUUAGACAUGAUGAAGGGUGUUCAUUUAAUCAUAAUGGCACAUUGCUGCAAUCUUGUCUCCCAUUCUUCAAGUGUGGGAGUUCAAUAGUCCCUCUAAUGUUUAACAAAAAGAACUCUAACUGCAGUGAUCACACAGCCUGUUAUUUAUAGGUUUGGUACAAAAUUAUUUUUGUAUAAAGAGGGUUUUCUUCCAGUAGUUAUUUCUGAUAGCUUUCUUAAUAUUUCGCCUUUGCGUAUAGACAAAUUACCAUCGAUAAAACAAAACAACAAUCCCAGGUGAAUGUAUUCUUCCAGCUAUGCUCUAUUGUUCUUCUGCCAUUCUGACAUCCCUUGGGGGAUAUCCCUUGUAUAUUUUCUGGCAGGAGCUGCCGGUUUUUAAAUGAAGGUAAGGAAUUACAUGCAACAACCCCCCAGCAUGUUUCUUCAAACAAAUUUAUGGCUUUCCUUGGAUCUUACUACAGAAGCUCAUUUGUGAUCCUGCAGGAGAAUAAAAUAAAAUAUCCAAAUCCAAGGGAUCAGAACUUCAAGCAGAAUAUUGUGGGAGGAGUGAUUUAAAAUGGCAGCAUUCGUUUGAAUUAAAAUGCUUUCUAGAAGCAGCCAUUUCCUCACCAAGAGCUGCAGCACGUUCAUCCUUUUAAUAAAAGAAACAUCAUUUUCCUUCUUUAAUUGCUGAUAUCCAAGUCUUUAAUCUAAAAUGUUGUUAUUAUUUUUCUCCAAAUAGGUGACUUUCUCUUUCCUUGAUGUUUGUAUUUUUCCUUUGAUUGCCAACACACUAGAUUUUAAUUGCUUAUAUAUUUAAUUCUCAUGUGCAUAAUUGCACUCCCGCAGUUGGCUGUUGUUGUUUUAAUUCAAACAGAUUGGGGGGGGGGAUUUAGCAGAGUAAUCUUAAUUCACCAUUGAGGCAUUAAGAUGAGAGGAAAGUCAGCAAGCAGAGUGACUGCUGCACCAUGUCCUGCCAUUUUGCAAUAGCCAUGGUAGGUGGGUGGGAGAGAGGGAGCAAAAUACCUACUUCAGCCCCAGGGAUGGUAUAUUGUCAGGUUGGUUCUUUGAGCAUGUGGGGGGAAUGCAAGAACUUUGGAUCUGGCAGAUACACAUUCACCCCAACACUCACUCUCUGGAGCCAACUGAUGAUUCCCAGGUAAGAUUGAAUUGAAAUUGAAAUUGAAAUACUUUAUUGUCACUUGUACAACUUGUAUACAGUGAGAUUACACGAGCACCCCCCACUCAGCUCUCUUAGUCUUAAUUCCCCUCGUUUACUGAAGCACACCCACCAAACCCGAAAAUCAGUUGCCCUGUUGUUAUCUUUUCUUUCAGCAGCCUAACAGCCCACGGAUAGAAGCUGUUCUUUACCCUAUUGGUGCGACUAAUCAUGCUUCUAUAUCUUCUGCCUGAGGGCAGGAGAUCAAGAAAGUGCCAGCCAGGGUGUGAAUCAUCCCUGAGAAUUUUCCUCACUCUCCUGAGGCAACGUUCUUCCGCUAUUUCAUCCAGCAGAUUCACGGGACAGCCCAUAAUAUCUUGUGCUGUAUUCACCACCCUCUGUAGGAACUUCCUAUCAGUUGAUGUCAAACCAGCUUACCACACCGUGAUGCAGUAUGAAAGGACACUUUCUAUUGUGGACCAGUAGAAGGAGAUCCACCCUCUAUUGUGUGGGCAGGGCCUACCUCGUCCAAUCCCCUGGCAAAGCCUUCCCAGAUGGUAUUGGGCAAUUGGCUGAGGUAAGCGGAGACCUCCAGGUAUCCAGCCUGGGGAGGGCAAAGCCAGACUGUACUGCCAGGAGCCGCAUAGGGUCUGGGGGGCUGUGAACAACCAUGCAAAAGACACCCCCCAUUUGAUGUGGGGAGUGGUCAUUCACCCCAACCAGUGCCCAAACACUAGCCGGAGGGAAAAAUAUAUAUUUUAAGCUUACAGAGGCCACAAGAACAUUAAUUGCCAAAAACUGGAAAAAAGAAAUAACACCAACAAAAAAAGAAUGGCAAGAUAAAUUGUUGGAUUAUAUUGAAUUGACCAGAUUGACAGAAGCUAUCAGAAGCCAAACAAAAAUUUCAAAAAGACUGGGGGAAAUAUAGAGAAUAUCUUUAAAAGCAGUGCCCUCAAAUUAAUACUUGGACUUGUUUCGAUUAACUUCCGCAAAAUAAAUGAAGGUAUGUAAGUCAAAAACAGAAAGAAAAAGAGGUAGUAAGGAAUUAAGAAGGAAACAGUUUAUCAAAAAUGAAAAGAGAACCAUGUUGAGGGUGAAGAAAGUCAAUUGGAAAAAAAGAAAAA
rnacentral:lncRNA from 1 species